AUGGCAGCUAGUCCGACGCCGACGCUGGUGCUGGUACCGGAGUGGGGCACCGGCCACCUCAUGUCCAUGCUCGAGUCCUGCAAGCGAAUCCUUCUCUGCGGCCGCCGCGCUCGCUCCUUCUCCAUCACGCUGCUCAUCAUGCGCCCGCCCACCGCCCAAGCCACCUCCGAGGUCGAGGCGCACGUCCGCCGCGAGGCCGCCUCCGGCCUCGACAUCCGCUUCCACCGCCUCCCCGCGGUGGAGCCUCCGGCUGACGCUGCCGGAGUCGAGGAGUUCAUCGCGCGGUACAUCCAGCUCCACGCGCCCCACGUCAGGGAAGCCGUCGCGGGGAUGUCGUGCCCCGUCGCCGCACUCGUGCUCGAUCUGUUCGCGACGCCCAUGGUCGACGUGGCCCGCGACCUGGGCGUGCCGUCCUACGUCUUCAUGUCGUCCACCGGCGCCAUGCUCGCGCUCAUGCUGCACUUGCCCGUGCUCCACCAGGUGGUCACCGUGGAGUUCAGCCAGGUGGACGGGGAGGUGGUGCACGUGCCCGGGCUGCCGCCGAUACCGCCCGAGUCCAUGCCGUGCCCGGUGGUGGACAAGAAGAGCCCCAACUACACGUGGUUCCUGCGCCUCGGGCACAGCUUUAUGGACGCCACGGGAAUCAUCGCAAACACUGCGGACGAGCUCGAGCCGGGGGCCCUCGCGGCCGUCGCCGACGGCCGAGCCGUGCCAGGGCGCCCCGCGCCGCCAGUGUACCCUGUCGGCCCCGUGCUCUCGCUUGGCAGCAGUGACAGAAGGAAGGAUUCCUCGGAGCCACCGCACGAGUGUGUCGCCUGGCUGGACGCGCAGCCGCCGGCGUCGGUGGUGUUCCUCUGUUUCGGGAGCAUGGGCUGGUUCGAGGCAGCGCAGGUGGUGGAGAUCACGGCGGCGCUGGAGCGGUGCGGCCACCGCUUCCUGUGGGUACUCCGGGGCCCGCCUUCCUCGGAGUCGGGCGCCGGCGCGCCGGACGGGUCGGAGCACCCGACGGACGCGAAGCUGGAGGAGCUGCUCCCAGAGGGGUUCUUGCAGAGGACGGAGGGCAAGGGCCUGGUGUGGCCGACGUGGGUGCCGCAGAAGGACAUCCUGGCGCACCCGGCCGUGGGGGGGUUCGUGACGCACGCCGGGUGGAACUCGGUGCUGGAGAGCCUGUGGCACGGCCUGCCAAUGGCGCCGUGGCCUCUCUACGCGGAGCAGCACCUGAACGCCUUCGAGCUCGUCGCCGACAUGGGGGUCGCCGUGCCGCUCAAGGUGGACCGGAAGCGGGACAACUUCGUGGAGGCGGCGAACCUGGAACGAGCGGUCAAGUGUCUGAUGGGCGAGGAGGGGCGGAAGGCCAGGGAGAGGGCCGCCGAGAUGAGAGACGUCUGCCGCAACGCCGUCAACAAGGGCGGCUCCUCCGACGCUGCGUUGCAGAGGCUCUCGGAGGCGCUCCACCACGGCUCGGUGCUGCCCCCGACCAUGUGA
rnacentral:rRNA from 1 species